UAUUCAGUAUGUUUUUUCUUGUCGGUCAAGAGCUGAGCCUUUCACCAACGCCUCAGUCCCUUCUUUCAAAGAACUGUCAGGAUAGCUGAACACGAAGCCAACUAAUCAGAGCUAACAGCAACACUCCUAAAAAGAAGAUUUGUUGAACUCGAAUGGAAAUCUUUGAAAUACAUCCUGGUAAUACAUUCAGAGAAAGGUCAUAUCAGAAGAGGUACGAACAGCUGCUUCACUAUGGCUUUAAGAUUGAAACAGACGGAGUGACAUUUAUGGAUUCAGCCAUGCAUCCGCAGCAGGGGGAAUAGCACUUUUUCAAACACACCCCUGUGUACAGGAGCACAAAAAGCAUGAUGUUUUCUUCAGUAAACACACACUUCUACAGGAGUAACACUUCAGUACUGUAAAAAAAAACAGAUAUAUUGUGCAAGUGAAAUGCCACCAUGGUUCUAAUGCCAGAGGCAAAUCUUUGUCUGGUAACGUUGCAUUGUUUCUGUAAAGCCAAUGCUACCUUGGCAGUCUAAUUAAAUCCAGUACAGCUAAAGGGUGUAUGUUUCCUACUUGUUGAGCUGUGUGGCUUGAGUUCUUGAAGCCAUCUUUCUGCAGAAAACUAAGCUACGGUGGCCAGUACGCUUGGUUGUGUGUUUACCAUAAACAGCGCUAUCCAUUCAUUGCUACACAUGUAUCUGAGAUUGAAACUUUGAUAAAAAUUACUGUAAACUGUAUGACAAUUGCAAAAUCCUAAUGUAAAGUCAGAUCUGCAGCAAAUGCAUGAUGCAACCAUGUUUUAUGGACAGAUAUCUCAGAGGAAUGUUUUUGACAUCUUGGCUAAUCUAAACAAUAAUGAAUUAAGGCAGCUCUGAAGGCAAAAUGUGGUCUUAGACAAUACUAGCUAAGUGUACCCUAAAAACCUAAUGGUGAAAGUAUAGAUCAAUUUAUGUAUUGAUUACACAGUUAUUUGGAAUCCAAGCUCCAAAUGCACAGAGUGACUUUAACAUAUUCGCACCCACACAUCAAGAGGACAGAGACACAUUGAUGUGAGGCCAGCAACACAUGGAUCCACCCUCUCACAAUCAGAGAUAACACUUAACACUUUAUUAGCAAUAUCAGACACAAGAACAGUUUCUGCCUUUUGUAAACAUCCCAUCAAAAGCCUGAAAGCAUAAGGUAGUGUUUGUCUAGAGCAAAUGGAGCUGGGUUUAUUCAAAACAUCUUUAGCGACACAGGAAUGUCUCCACACAUUGUGUCCUCUGGCUAUUGUCCAACCCUUCAGGGUGGGGCGUAGAGACAACAGCGUGUCAGUGUGACUGCUCGCCAUCCAUUGCAAGUUACUGAAAUAGAGUUCAAUCAGAAACCAUUCCUCCACUGUGUGUGGACAAAAGGGGGUUGAUAAACGCAUUACUGUGACUUAAUUUGGGCAAAUAUCUAGGUGAACUUCUUUACUUUUAGGCUAAAAUGUAAGGGGCCAAACUAAAUAUACUGAGCCUUUACAGUUUAACAACACAACCAUAAACUCUACUUGAACAUAAAUCUGUCCACAGUCGCUUUGCCUGCUGCUGCAUCUUAAAGUCUGGUUGAACCAGUCCAAAUUCCUUUAUCCGCUAUUUUCCUCCAGCGAAAUUGUCGUGAAAUAAUGUUUUGUAAAUAAAUGACAUAAUUUUCUUUCACUGCU